rnacentral:tRNA from 1 species
GGGCAGGUGCCAGAGAGGUCAAAUGGGGCGGGCUGUAAACCCGUUGCCGCAAGGCUACGUAGGUUCAAAUCCUUCCCUGCCCA